rnacentral:rRNA from 1 species
UACGGAGGGUGCAAGCGUUGCUCGGAAUUAUUGGGCGUAAAGGGUAGGUAGGUGGUCUCGUUUGUCUGGGGUGAAAGCCCGGGGCUUAACUCCGGAAGUGCCUCAGAAACGGCGAGACUAGAGUCCUGGAGAGGGUCGUGGAAUUCCCGGUGUAGCGGUGAAAUGCGUAGAGAUCGGGAGGAACACCAGAGGCGAAAGCGGCGACCUGGACAGGUACUGACACUCAACUACGAAAGCGUGGGGAGCAAACAGG